rnacentral:rRNA from 1 species
GACGAACGCUGGCGGCGCGCCUAACACAUGCAAGUCGAACGAGCGAGCGAUAGCUUUCUUUCUCGAUCGAGUGGCGAACGGGUGAGUAACGCGUGAGUAACCUGCCUCAAAGAGGGGGACAACAGUUGGAAACGACUGCUAAUACCGCAUAAGCCCACGGCUCGGCAUCGAGCAGGGGGAAAAGGAGCAAUCCGCUUUGAGAUGGCCUCGCGUCCGAUUAGCUAGUUGGUGAGGUAACGGCCCACCAAGGCGACGAUCGGUAGCCGGACUGAGAGGUUGAACGGCCACAUUGGGACUGAGACACGGCCCAGACUCCUACGGGAGGGAGCAGUGGGGAAUAUUGCACAAUGGGGGAAAACCUGAUGAAGCGACGCCGCGUGGAGGAAGAAGGUCUUCGGAUUGUAAACUCCUGUUGUUGGGGAAGAUAAUGACGGUACCCAACAAGGAAGAGACGGCUAACUACGUG